AAGACUAUAGACCUGCGGAGUACCUGCGGAAGGAUCAUUACCGAGUUAGGGUUCCUCUCACGGGCCCGACCUCCCAACCCUGUGUCUAUCACACCUUGUCGUUGCUUCGGCGGACCGGUUUGACUCCGGUCGCGACCGCCGGGGGUGCUUCACCCCGGGAGAGCGUCCGCCGAUGGCCCAACCACAAAACUUCUUUGUACCAAAACCGGUCGUCUAAAUCAAACUUGAUCAUAAUCAAAA
rnacentral:misc_RNA from 1 species